GCAGUCGAACGAGAAAGGGGAGCAAUCCCUGAGUACAGUGGCGUACGGGUGAGUAACACGUGGAUGAUCUAUCUCUUAGUGGGGAAUAGCCCUGGGAAACCGGGGAUAAUACCGCAUAAGCUCGAGAGAGGAAAGCAGCAAUGCGCUGAGAGAGGAGUCCGCGGCCGAUUAGCUAGUUGGGAGGGUAAGAGCCUACCAAGGCAGAGAUCGGUAGCCGGCCUGAGAGGGCACACGGCCACACUGGCACUGAAACACGGGCCAGACUCCUACGGGAGGCAGCAGUGGGGAAUCUUGCACAAUGGGGGAAACCCUGAUGCAGCGACGCCGCGUGAGCGAUGAAGCCCUUCGGGGUGUAAAGCUCUUUCGGCAGGGAAGAUGAUGACGGUACCUGCAGAAGCAGCUGCGGCUAACUACGUGCCAGCAGCCGCGGUAAUACGUAGGCAGCGAGCGUUGUUCGGAGUUACUGGGCGUAAAGGGUGUGUAGGCGGUUGUUUAAGUUUGGUGUGAAAUCUCCCGGCUCAACUGGGAGGGUGCGCCGAAUACUGAAUGACUUGGAGUGCGGGAGAGGAGAGUGGAAUUCCUGGUGUAGCGGUGAAAUGCGUAGAUAUCAGGAGGAACACCGGUGGUGUAGACGGCUCUCUGGACCGUAACUGACGCUGAGACACGAAAGCGUGGGUAGCAAACAGGAUUAGAUACCCUGGUAGUCCACGCCCUAAACGAUGCAUAUUUGGUGUGGGCAGUUCAUUCUGUCCGUGCCGGAGCUAACGCGUUAAAUAUGCCGCCUGGGGAGUACAGUCGCAAGGCUGAAACUCAAAGGAAUUGAC
rnacentral:rRNA from 1 species